UUAAUUGAAGAGUUUGAUCAUGGCUCAGAUUGAACGCUGGCGGCAGGCCUAACACAUGCAAGUCGAGCGGCAGCGACUUAACUGAACCUUCGGGGAACGUUAAGGGCGGCGAGCGGCGGACGGGUGAGUAAUGCCUGGGAAUAUGCCCUGAUGUGGGGGAUAACUAUUGGAAACGAUAGCUAAUACCGCAUAAUCUCUUCGGAGCAAAGAGGGGGACCUUCGGGCCUCUCGCGUCAGGAUAUGCCUAGGUGGGAUUAGCUAGUUGGUGAGGUAAGGGCUCACCAAGGCGACGAUCCCUAGCUGGUCUGAGAGGAUGAUCAGCCACACUGGAACUGAGACACGGUCCAGACUCCUACGGGAGGCAGCAGUGGGGAAUAUUGCACAAUGGGCGCAAGCCUGAUGCAGCCAUGCCGCGUGUGUGAAGAAGGCCUUCGGGUUGUAAAGCACUUUCAGUCGUGAGGAAGGUAGUGUAGUUAAUAGCUGCAUUAUUUGACGUUAGCGACAGAAGAAGCACCGGCUAACUCCGUGCCAGCAGCCGCGGUAAUACGGAGGGUGCGAGCGUUAAUCGGAAUUACUGGGCGUAAAGCGCAUGCAGGUGGUUUGUUAAGUCAGAUGUGAAAGCCCGGGGCUCAACCUCGGAAUUGCAUUUGAAACUGGCAGGCUAGAGUCUUGUAGAGGGGGGUAGAAUUUCAGGUGUAGCGGUGAAAUGCGUAGAGAUCUGAAGGAAUACCAGUGGCGAAGGCGGCCCCCUGGACAG
rnacentral:rRNA from 1 species